rnacentral:lncRNA from 1 species
UUUGUUCGAGGCAAUCAAGUGUCAUACACCAAGGAGGCUAUCAAUGAACUCUUUCGCUUGGAGACUCGUCCAUCCAAUGAGUCUAACUGGGUAGAGUACCAGCGAUAUGAGACCGACUUGGAUCAACUUAUAUAAGAUAUAUGUAAGCCGGGUACUAAGUGGGCCACCAAGGUAGGAACCAACAGAAAAGUCCACUUCCCGUAGACUGCCUUAAGUCAGCACGCCAAGUCUUGGUACAGCUUUAUCUACGUGAGUUUGCUGACCACUACCCAUCACUAGGAUGUCACUGUUAAUAGAGCUAUCAUUCUGUAUGGCAUCAUCAAAGGAAAAUCUAUUGAUGUCAGGCAUCUCAUCCAUCAAUCAAUGCUGAGGUAUAUGAGAGGAAGUACUUCAAGAUCAAUCCCACAUGCCUCGACCAUUACAAGAAUUUGUUAUAAAGUGGAUGUUCAGUGGGAUAAUGAGACAUUACAGCUGCCCAUGCGCGAUACUAAUCACGCCGCGAUUCAAAAAUAUGUUAUAUAGGGCAGAGGAAAAUCUCAUCCCCGAGGCCGAGGCUUUAUAUUUCCCAAUCAUGAGGAGAGUAUGAGUAUGGAGGAAGAAGAAGAAUAUGAGGAUGUCUUAGUUCCACUAAUAAUAGGGAUACCACCAGAUUACCUUCCCAAACAAGAGCGACAGAUGCGCCAUUUAUAGAGGAGGAUGGAUGAUAUGCAUACCCACUUCCCCGCCUUGAUUACUAAGUUCUCUG